CGGGGGAAACAAUAACACGGCGAAGAAACACGAAAAAGCAUAUAGUGGCAGGGACCAAGUUCAUAUCACUGCCUGUAAGUAAGGCUGCCUGACACUUCCCAGCUGCAGUUUCACUUCACGAGUGCAACAGCAAGCCUCUUCUCUCCUACCACAGCUCCAAGAACCAUGACCUACCACGCCACCGGCAUCUCACUGAUUUUGUGUGGAAAGGUUUGGGGUCCAUCACCGUGUACAAAGGCAGCAUGGACAGCAGCUAUUUGUAGGAGCUUCAUCAGCCACGGACAAACAGCGUUUAGUGCUGAGCAUUACCAUAAUGUUUUCUAAAAGCACUUUCCAUGAUUGAAGAGACCGCUGCUGGAUUUCGCACAGGCCUGCUUUGUAGCCUUGCAAAAAAAAAAAAAAAAAAAAAAAGUAGGGUAAUGAGAAAUAUCUGCAAACUGACAUAAUUCCCCAUGUUAAUAAAUAUUUCAAGUCAUCCCA
rnacentral:lncRNA from 1 species